GCAUGGGGACGACCCCGUGGCCUAUGAAUUUUGCGGGACGGCCCG
rnacentral:ncRNA from 1 species